ACGGCGAGUGAACAGGGAAAAGCCCAGCACCGAAGCCUGUGACCAUUUGGUUACUAGGCAAUGUGGUGUUCAGGUCAUUCCGCGGAGGUACUGCUCCACUCCAAGUCCAGCAAUGAGUACGGUAAUGCUGACAUGGCCCAGAGAGGGUGAAAGGCCCGUUGGGGUGGAGGUGCAGAAAUGCCGGUAUUUUCCUGGAUAGACCUUGGAGUCGGGUUGUUUGAGAAUGCAGCCCAAAGUGGGUGGUAAACUCCAUCCAAGGCUAAAUACAAACACGAGUCCGAUAGCGAACAAGUACCGUGAGGGAAAGUUGAAAAGUACUUUGAAGAGAGAGUAAACAGUGCGUGAAACCGCUCAGAGGUAAACGGGUGGAGUUGAACUGUGAACUUUGUGGAUUUAGCUGGUGAGUGUGGUUUGAGCUUGGUCAAAUUGGUCGAGGCUUGGAGUCUGCGUAGCAGCAGGUCCCUAUCUUUUGGUAGGGAUGCGCGAUACACUUACCAAGUGUUGCGCGCUCCUUGUUUAUUCGGGCCUACUUGCCAGUGCAUUUUCGCAGAGUGGUCACCACGACCGGCAUCGCUGUCAGGCUGUUGCGGUUAAACCGUCCUUGCAAUCUCCAUGCGUUUUUGUCUGGGCGGGAUGGCAGGUAACUUGUUGUCCUGUUCACGGUUCGCCGUGGACUAUAGGUCUUCAGGUGUAAUAAGCUGACCGCAUCAGUUCUGUGCAGUAUGUCGGAGACGGCGGCUUGUGGUGUGUGCGUGCGUUCCAGUCGGUUGGCGUUUCCGAGUUUGGUCGUCAUGUUGCUUGUGUGUGCAGGCCUGAUGAUAUCUCGGGUUCGUUCGAUUGGCGGAUGCGUGCGUGUCACUAUAUCCAGGGCCAAUAGUCUGUGGUGUUGCGGUAGACUUUCCACCUGACCCGUCUUGAAACACGGACCAAGGAGAGUAACAUGUGCGCGAGU
rnacentral:rRNA from 1 species